rnacentral:rRNA from 1 species
AUGUUGCGGGUACCUCAACUGAGUUUGAAUCAUAUAGUCAGUACCCAAUUACACAUUGUGAAACAAUACAAACCUGCUGAUGGCACCUCACAACCGAUUAAAGGAGUUGGAUCAGUUCAAUGUACACCCACUAUUAAAUUAUUUGAUGUAUUACAUGUUCCAGCUUUUCCUGUGAACUUGCUUUCUCUAAGUGCUUUGAUUGAUCAGAUAGAUUGCCGAAUAACUCUUGAUAAGAAAAUAUGUUUGAUUCAGGUGAGGAUGACUAGAAGGAAACUUGGGACAGGAACCAGGCGUAGUGGAUUGUGGUAUAUGGAUCGUGAUGUGUCUAGGUCUGGUGCUAGUCCUAUUUUGGGUCUAGUAGUUGGAGUAAGUGAGACAAUGGCGAUGAUCCAUCACUGCCGCAUGGGGCAUAUGGCUUUUGAUAAGAUGAGUAAGAUGUUUCCUGAUGUAAUGCGUGGAGUAGACAAGAUUAAGCUUAUGUGUGAUGCAUGUGAAUAUGCAAAGCACACAAAAAUCAUAUAUUUGAGUAAGGGGCUAAGGAGUAUAUCCCCGUUUAUGCUGAUUCACUCUGAUGUUUGGACAUGUCCUAUUGUUUCUGUUAGUGGAAUGAAAUAUUUUGUGACAUUUAUAGACUGCCACACUCGCAUGACUUGGGUGUACCUCACACGACAUAAAGAUGAAGUAUUCCAAUGUUUUCAGGAGUUUUAUGCCUAUGUGCAAAACCAAUUUAAUGUGCAGGUCCAGGUGAUCAGAUCUGACAAUGGAACUGAAUAUGUAAACAAGCAAUUUGGAGGUUUUCUGUCAGCACAAGGCAUAAUGCACCAAACAUCAUGUCCAGAUGCCCCUGCUCAGAAUGGUGUUGCAGAAAGAAAGAACCGACACAUUUUAUAA